rnacentral:rRNA from 1 species
AAACCCAGGCUAAUACCGCAUACGUCCUACGGGAAGAAAGGGGGCUUCGGCUCCCGCUAUUGGAUGAGCCUAUGUCGGAUUAGCUAGUUGGUGAGGUAAAGGCUCACCAAGGCAACGAUCCGUAGCUGGUCUGAGAGGAUGAUCAGCCACAUCGGGACUGAGACACGGCCCGAACUCCUACGGGAGGCAGCAGUGGGGAAUAUUGGACAAUGGGGGGAACCCUGAUCCAGCCAUGCCGCGUAUGUGAAGAAGGCCCUCGGGUUGUAAAGCACUUUCAGCGAGGAAGAACGCCUAGUGGUUAAUACCCAUUAGGAAAGACAUCUAUCGCAGAAGAAGCACCGGCUAACUCCGUGCCAGCAGCCGCGGUAAUACGGAGGGUGCAAGCGUUAAUCGGAAUUACUGGGCGUAAAGCGCGCGUAGGUGGCUUGAUAAGCCGGUUGUGAAAGCCCCGGGCUCAACCUGGGAACGGCAUCCGGAACUGUCAGGCUAGAGUGCAGGAGAGGAAGGUAGAAUUCCCGGUGUAGCGGUGAAAUGCGUAGAGAUCGGGAGGAAUACCAGUGGCGAAGGCGGCCUUCUGGACUGACACUGACACUGAGGUGCGAAAGCGUGGGUAGCAAACAGGAUUAGAUACCCUGGUAGUCCACGCCGUAAACGAUGUCGACCAGCCGUUGGGUGCCUAGAGCACUUUGUGGCGAAGUUAACGCGAUAAGUCGACCGCCUGGGGAGUACGGCCGCAAGGUUAAAACUCAAAUGAAUUGACGGGGGCCCGCACAAGCGGUGGAGCAUGUGGUUUAAUUCGAUGCAACGCGAAGAACCUUACCUACCCUUGACAUCUACAGAAGCCGGAAGAGAUUCUGGUGUGCCUUCGGGAACUGUAAGACAGGUGCUGCAUGGCUGUCGUCAGCUCGUGUUGUGAAAUGUUGGGUUAAGUCCCGUAACGAGCGCAACCCUUGUCCUUAUUUGCCAGCGAGUAAUGUCGGGAACUCUAAGGAGACUGCCGGUGACAAACCGGAGGAAGGUGGGGACGACGUCAAGUCAUCAUGGCCCUUACGGGUAGGGCUACACACGUGCUACAAUGGCCGGUACAAAGGGCUGCGAGCUUGCGAGAGUCAGCGAAUCCCUUAAAGCCGGUCUCAGUCCGGAUCGGAGUCUGCAACUCGACUCCGUGAAGUCGGAAUCGCUAGUAAUCGUGAAUCAGAAUGUCACGGUGAAUACGUUCCCGGGCCUUGUACACACC